GACGAACGCUGGCGGCGGGCUUAACACAUGCAAGUCGAACGGAAAGGCCCUGCUAUUGUGGGGUGCUCGAGUGGCGAACGGGGGCGUAACACGUGAGUAACCUGCCCUUGACUUUGGGAUAACUUCAGGAAACUGGGGCUAAUACCGUAUAGGAGCUCCUGCUGCAUGGUGGGGGUUGGAACGUUGCGGCGGUUGGGGAUGGACUCGCGGCUUAUGAGCUUGUUGGUGGGGUAGUGGCUGACCAAGGCUUUGACGGGUAGCCGGCCUGGGAGGGUGACCGGCCACAUUGGGACUGCGAGACGGCGCAGUCUCCUACGGGAGGCAGCAGUGGGGAAUAUUGCACAAUGGGCCGAAGCCUGAUGCAGCAACGCCGCGUGCGGGAUGACGGCCUUCGGGUUGUAAACCGCUUUCGCCUGUGACGAAGCGUGAGUGACGGUAAUGGGUAAAGAAGCACCGGCUAACUACGUG
rnacentral:rRNA from 1 species